rnacentral:tRNA from 1 species
GCAUUAAUAGCUCAGCGUCAGAGCAUCGGUCUUGUAAGCCGAACGCCAAAGGUUAAACUCCUUUUUAAUGCU